AACGAACGCUGGCGGCGCGCUUAACACAUGCAAGUCGAACGAGAAGGCGUAGCAAUACGCUUGUACAGUGGCGAACGGGUGAGGAAUACAUGGGUAACCUACCCUCGAGUGGGGGAUAACCCGCCGAAAGGCGGGCUAAUACCGCGUACGCUUCCGAUCUUGCGGGAUUGGAAGGAAAGCUGUCCCUUGGGGAUGGCGCUCAAGGAUGGGCUCAUGUCCUAUCAGCUUGUUGGAGGGU
rnacentral:rRNA from 1 species